rnacentral:rRNA from 1 species
UACGUAGGGCGCAAGCGUUGUCCGGAAUUAUUGGGCGUAAAGAGCUCGUAGGUGGUUUGUCGCGUCGGGUGUGAAAGCCCACAGCUUAACUGUGGGUCCGCAUUCGAUACGGGCAGACUUGAGGCAGGUAGGGGAGAACGGAAUUCCUGGUGUAGCGGUGAAAUGCGCAGAUAUCAGGAGGAACACCGGCGGCGAAGGCGGUUCUCUGGGCAUUACCUGACGCUGAGGAGCGAAAGCGUGGGUAGCAAACAGG